AUGGGGCGGAGAGCAUCGUUGACUUCAGGCCUAUUAGUCUCAUUCAUGCGGUCGCCAAGCUCAUCGCCAAAGUGCUCUCUAGUAGGCUUGGACCGCACAUGUCCGCCCUUGUCUCCAACGCCCAAAGUGCCUUCAUCAAAACGCGGAGUAUCCAUGACAACUUCAUGUCUGUUAGGAACCUUGCUCGUCGCCUACACAAGAGCAAGACCCCUUCUCUCCUGUUCAAGCUGGAUAUUCGCAAGGCCUUUGACUCCGUCAAGUGGGAGUAUUUGCUUGACCUCCUGCAGAGGCGUGGCUUCCCUAGCAAAUUUCGGGAGUGGAUUGUGGCUCUCCUUUGUUCCUCAUCUUCGAGGGUUCUCUUGA
rnacentral:rRNA from 1 species